GGACUCUAUUCGUCGCACAGCUCUAAUUUCCCCUCUCCUGCUCCUGCUUCUGCUCCUGCUCUUCAUUUUCUCUCCCUCAUCAGAAUAGCCACAGAGCUUGUUUCAGCUCCGUCUCAGGUCCAGAAUGAUGCAGGAACCCUCGCAUAUUUGACACCGUACCCGGGCGCCGACACGGCGCGUCGCUUCGGGGCGACGACCUAGCCCACCCUCGCCCACUUUUCGCUAGACCCGGGUGGUUCAAGUGCAACGCGUCGCUCGUAGGGGACGCACCAGCAAAUAUUCGCGAAGAAAGGAAUCUAUGGAAGCUGAAAUUCCUAUUGAAAGUAAUGAAAGCCCGGCUGGUAUAAAGGAGAAUGGCUUUCUUCUUAGGCUAGUUUCACGUUAUGCUUCUGGUGAAGGCUUAACAUAUGCUCUCAUUGAUUGGCCUAAUCCUGGCAAUACCUGGAGCUGGAAGGUGGGAGGGAGAAUCUCGAAUUCUGGCUACUAUUGUGACAGAUAUAUGUUUCUUCCAAAAUGUCUUCAGAGGCCUGGACGUAGAAGGGAGUGUUUUGCAAGCCAGCCUCGCUUGAGCGGUAUAUCCGAGCAAAAUUUCCUGGUGCUGACGUGGAUCCACUCAAGAAAGUCCUAUUCGGCUAAAGUCCUAUGACCUGAUGUGUAGAACAAAGGCCGCGUGGUAACAAUGUUAGUGCUGGGGCCAAGAAAGGAGAGAAGAAUAAUGAAUCUACAUGAUUCAAUAGUGUGUCUGCGUGUAUGGAGAUGCUGUGCCGCUGUCACUAUAUCAUCAAGCGAAAAGUAUUUAAGGGUUUUAUUUUGGGGCUAUAAUGUGUGUAUAUAGUUUUAUAUGAAAACUCGAAAAUAGUGUCAUAUGAUAAUAUAAUUAAACUACACCUUGACUUAAAUCUAUCGUAUCUUAUCGUGGGGGCAUCCUUCCAAUGCACUUUCGUUGGACUUGAUUUAAGUGUGUUAUAACACCUUAGAUGCUCUUGUAUUCUAUCCCUUCCUUAUAGUGAAAUUUUCUUGUCAUCUUUGCCCAUGGAUAUAGGCUAUAAUUUUAACAACACAAAUCUUAUGUCUAGUUUCUUGUAUUUUUCUUUUAUCAUUCACUUAAUUUCUCAAGUCCAAAACCUGCCAAAUAUAAAGAUAUAGCAUCACUAAGUAGCCAAAAUAAAUCAAUCCAAGGCAUUAAACCAUAAAAGGGUAGCUCGAUGCAUAAAGCUCUCGUGUAUGCAAUGUUAGGGGAAGGAGCGGACCACAAUGAAAAUGGUUCAACGAAAUUACUCAAAGGAUAAACCCAAUCGAGGGGCAUAAGCUAGAAUAUCUUACUCAUGCUUGCCCGAAUUUGCAUUUUUCAUGUCCUAUUCCUGCCUUUUGGAGUUAGCUAGUUGAAUUUCAUGGAUCAGUUUUGGAAGAACCAUGACUACUAUUCUCUAUGUUGAGGUUAACAAAGCCGCAAUCAUCUUUUUUAUUUCCAUGUCAUGAGCAAGCUCAGCACGUUCGAUUUGAAGGCGGGCGAUUACAGAGUCAAUUUCCUCUAUGACUGAUGACUUUGAGUCUAAUUCAGUUUGGACGAGAGCUGCUUUUUCCUUGGACUCAUUAUACUUAUUUCUUAGAGAAGUAGCCUUGGCCUUGCUAGCUUCAAGGUCUUCAAAGAAUUCGUUUGCUUCGUCUAUAAUUUUCUUAGCCUCUAGGAAAUCCUUACUAGUCAAUGAGAUCUCUUCAAUCAGCUUUGACUUAGAAAGUUGAUUAGCAUCAAGGUUGGGAUCCUUGUGAAACCUUGAAGACAAAGUUGAAAGCUCAACGUGAUUUUGACAGGAUAUUAGAGAAGGAUAGUCCUUGACAAGGAUAGAAGAAAGCUUCCUUCGGGCUUUGGUCAAUUCCUCUGGGGAAGGAG